GCCACGAGGUGUGACGUAAGGAGCUCACUGAUUGGUUGGACAGACACCGGCUGGCUGCCUCGAUUUUUCUACACUUUGCAGUGCUAAGAAGUGUGUGUGCUUGUACAAAGGCCAUUCAGCCUCAGUAUUUACACUCUGCCCAACACGGAUAUAUGAUGAACGAAGGGUGUGCGCCUGUGGACUCACCCUGACCACCUGUUUCAGGCAGCUGGAGCCAACUGAGAUGUGCUAACCCUCACCUCUCCUUCAACUUGAAAUGGAUGGGCUGCUGGAUGUCUGUAGCUGAGCUGAAUGACUCAUCCAGAGCUGAACUACAGCUGGAUGAACAUCAGGCCGCUCAUCACGGCAAGCAGCAAUCAUCUGGACAGGCCUUUCCACUUUCUUCUUUUGAUCAGGAGACAAGCCUUUCAGCAUUCUGCAUUUAAUCCAGCAGCAAACACCUGGGAUGCAACGCCUCUUUCUCCACACUGUUUCAUAAAGGUCAGAGUUUCUCUUUUCUGGCAGGUGGUGAUAAGUAGCGCACAAUGAAUCAGCCUCCUGAAAGCUGGAAAUCAUUUUUCAGCUUUCAGGAAGCAAACAGAUACCGAGAAGUGACUGAAAAUGAAAGAAGAAAAAUGCUCGAAUCAAUAGAGGUAAAGCGAUAUAGCUACGAGUUAUUAUCUCGCGACUCCACAGCUACCCUCUGAUCUACAGAAUGAUAUUAUCUGUAUUGUUUUUGGUUCACACUCAUGUUUCUGAGGAACAUUAUUCCAAUUUCAAAAUAAAUAAAAAUAGUUGCCAAUAGUGACAUGAUAGAAGGAGGCCUAAUCACGGAUUGCUGGUUUAAUAGUCUGGUUGUCACCAUCUCAGCUUUCAUAAAUCUGAACCUCACCUUAUUUGAACCAGCACUAAAGCUGGCUAGUUCAGGUAGACAGUGAUAUUAAAAUGGAUGCUAAUCACGGCGAAAAAACAGGCGUGAAACAAAACUUUGCAUCUUCUCUGAACAGUUGACUCUUGUCAGUGUUAUUUAGAAGAGAAAUAAGCAUAUUUCACAGCCUGCUACAAAAAAUAUUUUUGGUUUUACCCCCUUUGCCACAAGCAUACUGAGGAUGUAUGUCAUAUAUCUCUAGUUUAGAAACUACAGUGCUCCCACUUCAGACACUCCCGCUACGUUCCGAUGUCAAGUUUUUUUUUUGUUUUCUCUGUGCACAAUAAAGUUUGUUAAAUCUUAUCACUGUGUCCACUUGAGUCUGCUUGUGGGUUCACUCCCAUUUACUGGACACUGUGACAGUAAACUAGGUCUGGUCAAAGAAGAGUAUAGUCUAGUGUAGUGUAGUUUAGUCUAAACCAGUGGUGUCCAAACCCAGGCCUCGAGGGCCGGUGUCC